GAGGGAAUAGCUCAGUGGUAGAGUGAGGGCUUAGCAUGCACAAGGUCCUGGGUUCAAUCCCUAGUAUCUCCA
rfam:Camelus ferus unplaced genomic scaffold scaffold57, whole genome shotgun sequence.